rnacentral:lncRNA from 1 species
UGGUAGGUGUCGUACAUCAUCCAUUAUCAUCACGACGUCGCUACUAACCAGUGUCCUUGUGAUUUAUCGUCAGCUAACCCUUUUAUAUGUUGUUUAGUGAAAUCUUAUGUUUAUUAUUCGAAUUAACGUUAUUUUAUAUCUCAUUAAUAAAGUUUUGCUUAACCAAGUUAACAUGGACUGUUUUGGUGUGGUGGACUACAUUUUUCGCUGGUUACGAGAAACAGAGUUGGACAUUAAUGUUAAGAUUAAGCGCCGGACCAGCGUCAUGGGGGACCGGGGCCGAACUUUCGGCGGGUUCUCGACAGGUAGUUGGGGCUCGUCACAAAUAUAGCAA